rnacentral:rRNA from 1 species
CAGGUAGGGAUACCCGCUGAACUUAAGCAUAUCAAUAAGCGGAGGAAGG